rnacentral:rRNA from 1 species
ACACGUGGGAUCCAAGCGUUAUCCGGAUUUACUGGGCGUAAAGCGCGUGCAGGCGGUUUAGUAAGUUGGAUGUGAAAGCUCCGGGCUUAACCCGGAGAGGUCGUUCAAAACUGCUGAACUUGAGGACGGUAGAGGGAGGUGGAAUUCCGGGUGUAGUGGUGAAAUGCGUAGAUAUCCGGAGGAACACCAGUGGCGAAGGCGGCCUCCUGGCCCGUUCCUGACGCUCAGACGCGAAAGCUAGGGUAGCAAACGGGAUUAGAAACCCCGGUAGUCC